GGAUCCCGUUCCGUAGGUGAACCUGCGGGAAGGAUCAUUA
rnacentral:rRNA from 1 species